rnacentral:rRNA from 1 species
GAUGAACGCUGGCAGCGUGCCUAAUACAUGCAAGUCGAGCGAACGGACGAGAAGCUUGCUUCUCUGAUGUUAGCGGCGGACGGGUGAGUAACACGUGGAUAACCUACCUAUAAGACUGGGAUAACUUCGGGAAACCGGAACUAAUACCGGAUGAUAUUUUGAACCGCAUGGUUCAAAAGUGAAAGACGGUCUUGCUGUCACUUAUAGAUGGAUCCGCGCUGCAUUAGCUAGUUGGUAAGGUAACGGCUUACCAAGGCAACGAUGCAUAGCCGACCUGAGAGGGUGAUCGGCCACACUGGAACUGAGACACGGUCCAGACUCCUACGGGAGGCAGCAGUAGGGAAUCUUCCGCAAUGGGCGAAAGCCUGACGGAGCAACGCCGCGUGAGUGAUGAAGGUCUUCGGAUCGUAAAACUCUGUUAUUAGGGAAGAACAUAUGUGUAAGUAACUGUGCACAUCUUGACGGUACCUAAUCAGAAAGCCACGGCUAACUACGUG